rnacentral:rRNA from 1 species
UACAGAGGGUGCAAGCGUUGCUCGGAAUCAUUGGGCGUAAAGGGUAGGUAGGUGGUCUCAUUUGUCUGGGGUGAAAGCCUCGAGCUUAACUCGAGAAGUGCCCCGGAAACGGUGAGACUGGAGUCCUGGAGAGGGUCGUGGAAUUCCCGGUGUAGCGGUGAAAUGCGUAGAGAUCGGGAGGAACACCAGAGGCGAAGGCGGCGACCUGGACAGGUACUGACACUCAACUACGAAAGCGUGGGGAGCAAACAGG